GCCAGGGGAAUUUUUAAAUAUUAUAACUUCUGGUUAUUUGUAUAAAUUUUUAUAUUUUCCUCCAAAAAUAGUAUAAAGUGAAGGAACAUUGUUAAGCAAGAUGUUAAAUUUCGUAUUUUUGAAAUGCACCUAAACAAGUAAGCCUUAGAUUGUAUUAAUAGUGAGGAUUGACACCAUUUCCUCAACAGACAGUUGGAGGAGUAUAAUUGACCCCUGUGUUUUUGACUGCAGUUUUAACUGCAUUUACCAAUUUCUUUUGGCAUUGUUCAGUGUGUGAAAUAGGAGUAGAAAAAUGAUAAGGCCCUAGUCAUAGAAUUCUCAAUUUUUUUAAUGCUUUCUGUCAUCUCAUAGUUGAAUAAUCUUUCAAGGAACAUUUUGGAGUUCAACUUCAGACUUUUAUAUAGUGAGCCUUUUCAUGAUAUUUAUUGUGUCAGUGUUGAAGAUACAGUGAUCUUUUGGGAAUUCUGUAUAAUAAUAAAGAGUAAUGACACUGAAGGGUGAAGUGACUGAGUCUAGGGUUAGAUAAAAGCAGAAAGGAUGGGGGAAAUGAAAAGUGAGAAACUUGGCUGAGAUGGAUGGAGGAAUUUAAAGGUUUGGUAAUAAAUGCAUUUGUUGUGGUCAUAGGUGUUUAUCAAGAGGUUUGUCAGCACAGUCUUUUGGCAGAGAGUUGGGGAAACAAAACUGUAGGGACUCAGUAAUUCAGGAAUCGGGGCAAAGUCUGCACUCAGUGUGUGACCAUGCAGGUUAAAGUAGCAGUAAGGUGUAUGGCCCAUCCUAGGUGGAAACUGGACUUGGGGGAGGAGUGGAUGGGAAGAAGCCUAAAUGAAGCAGGAUCCUCAAGGUGUUUCUAAAGAAAUCCAAAUACAAUGCUUAAAGCCUUUGUCUCAGUAUUUUAUAAAGGGAGGAUAUUUUUUAAGCUGUCUGUUAUAAUCCACUUGGUGAUUAUGGCCUCUUUCCUUGUACCUUUAAGUCGGGAAUGCCAUUUGUGACCCCAUUCUGAAUGAAAGAAGGGUGACUAAGUAUAGGCCAGACAACUAACAUCACAAUAGGGAGCACCAGGCAAGAAAAAACAGGAGUUAACUGCUCCCUGUAUUUGGAGAGUAUUACAUCAAGCACUAAGUGUUUCAUAUUGUAAUGUUGAUAGAAGACAUGUUCACCCAUGGGUAUUUUUGAUUUUAGUAAUUCUCUAGGUAGGUCCUCUCCAAAGUUAUUUUAUGUCAUUCUUUUAAAAUAUUUUUGCGUACGUUCUCACGUGUCCAUGCAAGAGCACGUGUACAUUUUAUCAACAAAUAUGCAUCUAUUGGGGAUCUACUAAAAAUUUUGUUGGUGGGGUGCAUGAUCAAACAUGUUUAGAGACUAUUUCUCUAGAUUAUCACUAAAGUAGAUGAGUGGUUGUUUGUUCUCCCAAGAAUAACUCGUGAUUAUUAUGAUCUUUAAGUGAUGUCUAAAGAUGAGAAGCUGUUGAGGCAGUCUAAAGAGGGUUGUCUUGUCUAAUUUUAGCUUAUCUGCUGAAGUCCUUGUUUGUAAAAUUAAGACAUCUUUUACAGUCAACAGAUACCCCAAAUUAAGUGUUAUGCCAAUUCAAAGUCCAUGUACUCCUAUGUUUUAAACUAUGUUGAAAUUCAAAUUUUAUGUUUUUAGAAAUUUUCUUUUUAAACGUUAGGGCUCUUGUAACAUUUCCUUUGUUUACAUGGUUGUAAAAGAACUGAGGUGUUGUAGCUGUACGUCGGGGAUUGAAUUAGUUUCAGCAAUUGCGAUUCAACUAGAAGUCCCCUGUAUCUUUUCCCUCUUGUUCUGAGCAAUCCCUACAUUUUUAGGAAGGAAAGACGACAAACAAAUUAGACUUUAUUUGAGAAGAUUCUAUAAAUGAGCAUAAACCUAAAAUGAUAACAUUUGACAAUUGUGCUAUAGACAGGAUUGAAUGCAUUUUCCGGUCUAGAUUUCUGGCAGUUUCAUCCCCUCAGGAGGCCAGGUGGAGUUGUAUUUCUUAUACAUUGCACUUGCCAGCCUUCAAGUUAUCAACACACAUUCUUAUUUGACCUCCCAGCAACGGGGUGAGAUUGGCAGGUUGGGUAUGUCAGUAUUUUUCAAUCUUCAUUUUAUGGGUAGGAAACUGAGGCUGAGGGAGUUUAAGUAAUUUGCCCCAAAGCCAAAUAGCUAGUAAAUAUUAAUUCAUAAUUUGGACGGAGGCCUUUCUGACCCCAGAACCCAAACUCUUAACUAUUGAUGUACUGUGGUGUAUGAUUUAUGUACCUUGUUUGGCCUUGUUGGAACAUGCAGGUCUUAACUUCUCAUGGCUAGUUAGCCAUCUUGGUCAUUUUCAGCCUUGAAACACUUUCAAACUCUCUGUGCCCACAAGGCAUAGAACUCUUAAAACUAGGCUUCUGUCUUCAGGAAGCAGUUGGGAUUUAGUGUAAAGAAUUCUAGUCUUGGACUCAGAAGACUGAAUUGGAAUCCAGGUCUGGAGCCACUACCAGCUUGUGACUUUGGACAAGUUGCCUAGUCUCUCUGAGCCCACCACUCCAUACGUAAAACUGGGGAUAAAAACCAGUCUGUUGUCAGGGUCAAACAUAAGAAAACAUCUAGCAAUGACUAGUUGGAUUCUUGGAAGUUGGGUACUCUACCAUGGAGGCAAAUUAAAUACAUAGUUUUCUGGGUUUCUUGAAAAGAUGAUGUCACUGUGAUUGUGUUUGGAGUUUCUUGAAGGUCCUUUUUUAGCCAUAUCUGCAAGAAAGGUACUUGGGUUUUUGAGAUGAUAUAGGAAGGAAAAUGAACUGCUCCCACUUCUUAAGGGUGAAACUACGGAUAACCCAGGCCUUGCAUAUUUCUUUUACAAACUUUCCUAAGUUGGGUCUUGUGGUUUUCAGAGCUAUUUUCUCAGUAAAGGAAAAAAGAAGGAAUCCUUCAGAUCUUUUGUCUAUAUUGGAGACACCUUAAGCUGAGAGACGGCAUGUCACUACCCAACGUGUAUAACAAUGCAGCGCCGUCCAACGCACGUUUGCAUCUAGUCUCGUGUUUAAUCGUCAGAACAACUCUGCUAUAUAAAGUAAGUCGCCUUUUCCCAGAGUUUGCAGUCCUUCAAGCCAUUUGCAUUUGGCCAUGCUUUUACAAGAGAUUCUCUAACAGCAGUUUUCAAACAGAACUCAGUGGUUCUCAAUCUCUUCUUAAUCUAGAUUGGUAUGAGUCCUUCCUUUACUGCAAAGAAAAGCAGCCUUUUAUAAAUUAAUUAGUCUGGAUUUGAGUUUCUUCUCUGAUGUAACCUGAUGCAACGUCUGCUUGAAUCGCUAAAAAUGUAAUUCAUUUCUUCUAGUCGGUCAUAAAUGAAUCAGUGACCACAGGUUAUUUUUAGUUUAAACUCAGGUCCCUUUUUCUAUGUGCAGAUAUCUUCAUCGAAUAGCUUGCUGCUGGGUUCUAUAGCGUUACUGCCUACCUCAAUGAAGUAGGUACUCAGCCAGCAAAGCUUCUUGCUCAUUUAUUUUGCAAUACUCUAGGAAACAGAGGGCCGCAUUCUUAAAAGAACCUCAGGAGACUUGUAGGCACAAUUCCUUUGACCCUUUCAGAAGUCUUGCAUCUUAAAACCCCUGUGUGGGUCAGGCCCUGCUUGGAGUUGUAUGUAUAAAUUAGUCAGUAUGUUCCUAUAAUGGUUAAGAUUAUGAUGUAAGAAUAAGAAUUUGGAACUAAUCAAAAUGAAGGUUAGGGGCCAGUGUUGUCAGACAGUUAGCCCUUGGGCUAGUGGUUGUGGCUGUAGAGUUAGACAUGGAGAGCUUAUGUAAUUUUGGAACAUGAGGUGAGGUGGCAGAGAAAGUCAAGUGGUGGUGAACAGAGAGGACAGCUGAAGUCUUUGGGAUAGCACACCGACUUCCGAGACCUCCGCAUUUACUUAGACGCCCAAAGAAAGUCGGAGGGGCAGAGAGUGGGCUUGAGGCCCAGGUUCUGGAGUCUGAGAGGUCCUGGUUGAAUCCAGCCCAUACGCUGCUGCCGGUGCCAAGAGGCAAGGCCCUUUAUCCUCUCCAUCCCAGGUUCUUUGGCUGUAAAAUGGAGAUGACAAUACAUCCAAUCUUCAGCUCUGAAAUUCAACCUUUGAAAAUAGGUUUUUUAAAAUCUGGGCUUGGCAAAAACGCUUUUGGCAGUAAGCCCUGAUCUGAAGAAGUCGUCUGCUUCCUACUUCUGUGUCUGUCUACACGUUUUGCUGCAGGAGUGUUAGCUUGGAUGAGCUCCAGUCCCUAUGGAAGGGAUCCAUACUAUACGGCACAUGCUCCAUAUUGACUUGCUAAAAUCUGAAAAAUGCUGAAUUGCAGAAACACAAGUGGC
rnacentral:lncRNA from 1 species